CUAUGUUUCGGCUGUCAGCUUCCAAUUUGGACCCUAGUCUUAUAGCUACCAAUGGCAAGAGAGAUGUGGUGGGGAUGUGUGUCUACCUUUCUCUUCCCUUCCCUUAAGGUCUAUUCUGCCUCUAUUAGGCAAUUAAUGUGAAGUCUUGUGAGGAAAAAGGGGCACCAAGCCCCAGAGGAACAGUGAGGAACUAUGGCUGCCUCAUCUCCAAAAACGAUUGGGUGAUUGAAUGUAUCUUAUGCUUGGGUUGCAAUGUGACAACACCAAUACCUAUUUAAAAUUAAGUUCCUUGAAGUGGAUGUGCACAUAUUCCUGGCAUGUUCUUGACAAUCAUAUGGAAGAGCUGGAUUUACCAGAUCUAAGAAAGUGCAGAAAAAUAGAUGCAGCCAUCAUCGACCAUUUCCCAAAGUAGACCUGGCAUUUGCAAAAAAGAAAUGAGAUGUUUCAGAGGGACAUUUCCAAGGCAGUCACAGGAGGUGCUGCUCAGAGCUUGCGGUGGAGCCACUGGCUGAAGAGGAAGGGGCUCAGCUAAGAGGUGUACAAAGACAUCCCAGCUUAAAGUCCAUUCUGAGGAGGAAAUGUCUGAGAUCAAACUCUUAGGCUUUCCCCAGGGCAGGCAGAAAGACUGUCAAAAUUCUUGUAAUAUAGGUAAUCAGCAAUAAAGUAUCUGUUUCGGCCUA